rnacentral:rRNA from 1 species
UACGUAGGGGGCGAGCGUUGUCCGGAUUUAUUGGGCGUAAAGAGCGUGUAGGCGGCCAGGUAGGUCUGCUGUGAAAACUCGAGGCUCAACCUCGAGACGUCGGCGGAAACCAUCUGGCUAGAGUCCGGAAGAGGAGAAUGGAAUUCCCGGUGUAGCGGUGAAAUGCGCAGAUAUCGGGAAGAACACCCGUGGCGAAGGCGGUUCUCUGGGACGGUACUGACGCUGAGACGCGAAAGCGUGGGGAGCGAACAGG